rnacentral:rRNA from 1 species
GACGAACGCUGGCGGCGUGCCUAAUACAUGCAAGUAGAACGCUGAAGAGAGGAACUUACUCUUCUUGGUUGAGUUGCGCACGGGUGAGUAACGCGUAGGUAACCUGCCUUGUAGCGGGGGAUAACUAUUGGAAACGAUAGCUAAUACCGCAUAACAAUGGUUGACACAUGUCAUUUAUUUGAAAGGGGCAAUUUCUCUACUACAUGAUUGACCUGCGUUGUAUUAGCUAGUAGGUGAGGUAAUGGCACCCCUAGGCGACGAUACAUAGCCGACCUGAGAGGGAGAUGAGGCACCCCGAGACUGAGACUCGGACCAGACCCAUACGGGUAGGAGAAGUAGGGGUGAGGCGUCAAUGGGGGCAAGCCUGACCGAGCAACGGCGAGGGAGUGAAGAAGAAUAUCGGAUUGUGAAGCGUAGUUGUCUGUUAAGAGCGGGUGUGAGAGUGGAAAUUUCACACUUUGUCGGUAGCUUACGAGAAAGGGACGGCUAAUUACGUG